rnacentral:rRNA from 1 species
GUGUGGACGCCAGUCUGCAUGGAGCCGGCCUUGAAAUACCACCCUUUAAUGUUUGAUGUUCUAACGUGGACCCGUGAUCCGGGUUGCGGACAGUGUCUGGUGGGUAGUUUGACUGGGGCGGUCUCCUCCUAAAGAGUAACGGAGGAGCACGAAGGUUGGCUAAUCCUGGUCGGACAUCAGGAGGUUAGUGCAAUGGCAUAAGCCAGCUUGACUGCGAGCGUGACGGCGCGAGCAGGUGCGAAAGCAGGUCAUAGUGAUCCGGUGGUUCUGAAUGGAAGGGCCAUCGCUCAACGGAUAAAAGGUACUCCGGGGAUAACAGGCUGAUACCGCCCAAGAGUUCAUAUCGACGGCGGUGUUUGGCACCUCGAUGUCGGCUCAUCACAUCCUGGGGCUGAAGUAGGUCCCAAGGGUAUGGCUGUUCGCCAUUUAAAGUGGUACGCGAGCUGGGUUUAGAACGUCGUGAGACAGUUC